UUCUUACACAGUGCUAUGUCACAGGCUUCUGCCAUUCCAUGUAUUUGCUGAAUCACAGGGAAAAGUCACACUCUCUGACUUUUCAAGAUUGAAAGGAAGACAUGCAGGAUCACUCCAUGUAGUAAAGACUUAGGGAUGCAUUUCCUCGGGUUUAAAAGAAAAACAACAACAUUGGAAAACAACACCAUUCCAUCCUUCUACCACCAUCAGACUGCAACCUCUCUGUGACAUCCCAGGAGCUUCCUGAGCAGCUUUUCCCAAUGCUGGUGUGGUGCUGGAGCCUGAGCAAUUUCUGUCAUGUGAAACAAAGCUACAGGUGUCAGCAAGAGGACUGGAAGGAUGAAUCCUGUUCCCUGAAAUGCAGCUGGAGAACAAGGGCAGCUCAGGCCACCCCAGACCUCAGGAGAUUGAUAGUGUUGGCAGCUGAAGAUCUAAUUAUGGAUUAUUUGGGUCGGACUCUUUUAUCCCAG